rnacentral:rRNA from 1 species
UUGCAUAUACAUACCUGCAUUUAUAUAUACACCGGUUCUCACUGGAUCACCGGAGUUAAGCAACGUCGGGCCUAGUUAGAAUUUACAUGGGUGACCGCAUGGGAAACAUAGGUGCUCAAU